rnacentral:rRNA from 1 species
UGGGGAAUCUUGCGCAAUGGACGAAAGCCUGACGCAGCCAUGCCGCGUGAAUGAUGAAGGUCUUAGGAUUGUAAAAUUCUUUCACCGGGGACGAUAAUGACGGUACCCGGAGAAGAAGCUCCGGCUAACUUCGUGCCAGCAGCCGCGGUAAUAUCACU